GUCAGAUGAUUUGAAUCUUGGCUUACUGAUGCUCUAUGAGGGUCCACAUUCUUAUAGCAUGUUAGAGUUCUGAUGGCA
ensembl:snoRNA SNORD28 Small nucleolar RNA SNORD28